ACCACAGUGGUCUAGUGGUUAGAACACUGGGCUCGUAAUACUGCGGUCCCGGGUUCGAUUCCCGGCAGUGCUC
rnacentral:tRNA from 1 species